rnacentral:rRNA from 1 species
AACGAACGCUGGCGGCAGGCUUAACACAUGCAAGUCGAACGAGCUGGGAACUUCGGUUCCCGAUGCUAGUGGCGCACGGGUGAGUAACACGUGGGAACGUACCCUUUAGUACGGAAUAACUCAGGGAAACUUGAGCUAAUACCGUAUGACUCCUUCGGGAGAAAGAUUUAUCGCUAAAGGAACGGCCCGCGUCUGAUUAGGUAGUUGGUGAGGUAACGGCUCACCAAGCCGACGAUCAGUAGCUGGUCUGAGAGGAUGAUCAGCCACACUGGGACUGAGACACGGCCCAGACUCCUACGGGAGGCAGCAGUGGGGAAUAUUGGACAAUGGGGGCGAACCCUGAUCCAGCCAUGCCGCGUGAGUGAAGAAGGCCUCGGUU